ensembl:snRNA U6 U6 spliceosomal RNA
GUGCUUGCUUUGGCAGCACAUAUACUAAAAUUGGAAUGAUACAGAGAUUAGCAUGGCCCCUGCACAAGGAUGACACACAAAUUCGUGAAGCAUGCCAUAUUUUU